rnacentral:rRNA from 1 species
UCGGGAAUUUUGGGCAAUGGGCGAAAGCCUGACCCAGCAACGCCGCGUGAAGGAUGAAGUAUUUCGGUAUGUAAACUUCGAAAGAAUAGGAAGAAUAAAUGACGGUACUAUUUAUAAGGUCCGGCUAACUACGUGCCAGCAGCCGCGGUAAUACGUAGGGACCAAGCGUUGUUCGGAUUUACUGGGCGUAAAGGGCGCGUAGGCGGCAAUUCAAGUCAUCUGUGAAAUCUCCGGGCUUAACUCGGAACGGUCAGAUGAUACUGCUUUGCUAGAGUGCAGAAGGGGCAAUCGGAAUUCUUGGUGUAGCGGUGAAAUGCGUAGAUAUCAAGAGGAACACCUGAGGUGAAGACGGGUUGCCGGGCUGACACUGACGCUGAGGCGCGAAAGCCAGGGGAGCAAACGGGAUUAGAUACCCAAGUAGUCCCUGAGCGGGCUGGCAAGGCGCAU